AUUGAACGCUGGCGGCAGGCCUAACACAUGCAAGUCGAGCGAAUGACGGGAGCUUGCUCCUUGAUUCAGCGGCGGACGGGUGAGUAAUGCCUAGGAAUCUGCCUGGUAGGGGGGGACAACGUUUCGAAAGGAACGCUAAUACCGCAUACGUCCUACGGGGGAAAGCAGGGUACCUUCGGGCCUUGCGAUAGCAGAUGAGCCUAGGUAGGAUUAGCUAGUUGGUGGGGUAAUGGCUGACCAAGGCGACGAUCCGUAACUGGUCUGAGCGGAUGAACAGUCACACUGGAACUGAGACACGGGCCAGACUCCUACGGGAGGCAGCAGUGGGUAAUAUUGGAGAAUGGGCGAAAGCCUGAUCCAGCCAUGCCGCGUGUGUGAAGAAGGUCUUCGGAUUGUAAAGCACUUUAAGUUGGGAGGAAGGGCAGUAAGUUAAUACCUUGCUGUUUUGACGUUACCGACAGAAUAAGCACCGGCUAACUCUGUGCCAGCCGCCGCCGUAA
rnacentral:rRNA from 1 species